UACGGGGGGGCAAGCGGUUGUUCGGAAUUACUGGGCGUAAAGGGCUCGUAGGUGGCCAACUAAGUCAGACGUGAAAUCCCUCGGCUUAACCGGGGAACUGCGUCUGAUACUGGAUGGCUUGAGUUUGGGAGAGGGAUGCGGAAUUCCAGGUGUAGCGGUGAAAUGCGUAGAUAUCUGGAGGAACACCGGUGGCGAAGGCGGCAUCCU
rnacentral:rRNA from 1 species